ACGUACACUCCUACGGGAGGCAGCAGUGGGGAAUAUUGCACAAUGGGCGCAAGCCUGAUGAAGCCAUGCCGCGUGUAUGAAGAAGGCCUUCGGGUUGUAAAGUACUUUCAGCGGGGAGGAAGGCGAUAAGGUUAAUAACCUUGUCGAUUGACGUUACCCGCAGAAGAAGCACCGGCUAACUCCGUGCCAGCAGCCGCGGUAAUACGGAGGGUGCAAGCGUUAAUCGGAAUUACUGGGCGUAAAGCGCACGCAGGCGGUCUGUCAAGUCGGAUGUGAAAUCCCCGGGCUCAACCUGGGAACUGCAUUCGAAACUGGCAGGCUAGAGUCUUGUAGAGGGGGGUAGAAUUCCAGGUGUAGCGGUGAAAUGCGUAGAGAUCUGGAGGAAUACCGGUGGCGAAGGCGGCCCCCUGGACAAAGACUGACGCUCAGGUGCGAAAGCGUGGGGAGCAAACAGGAUUAGAAACCCUAGUAGUCCC
rnacentral:rRNA from 1 species